UAUAGCUUAGUGGCACAGCACAAGCCUAGUAAGCAUGAGGUCCUGAGUUCAAUUCCCAGUA
rnacentral:tRNA from 1 species